AUGUACGUACCUAAAAACAAGGGAGGGAUGGGAUUCCGUGAUAUUCAUUGUUUCAACUUGGCAUUGCUAGCCAAACAUGCGUGGCGUCUUCUUGAUAAUCCUAAUUUCUUGUGUGCUACUAUCCUAAGGGCCAAGUACUAUCCGGAUGGCGAUUUGUUGAAUUCCAAGGUAAAGAAUGCUCUUCCUUUACUUGGCAAAGCAUUAUAUCCCUGA
rnacentral:rRNA from 1 species